rnacentral:sRNA from 1 species
AAAAAAGAUAUUAGUAUUUUAAUAAAUAUUAGUUAUAUAAUUAAAUUUUAACAAUAAAAUAAUAUUUGACCAAUAGAUGAUAUACAAGUGUUCUUAUGGGUUUCUUAGAGUUUCUCACUUGAGAGACUAAUUCUACUCUCUCUCAUACUUUUUGAUUAUAUUUUAUUUUUAUAUUAAACAGUUUCUCAAUGAGAAACCAUUGAUGGAGAUGGUCUUAAUGACUUGCUCCGUGCUAGGGUUACAUAUCAUGUGCCGAAAUUCAGCGGUAACAGAGAGAAAGCCAUGGACAGAGUCACAAGACCCUGAGUGGAA